UACGUAGGGGGCAAGCGUUGUCCGGAUUUAUUGGGCGUAAAGAGCUCGUAGGCGGCUUGGCAAGUCGGGUGUGAAAACUCCAGGCUCAACCUGGAGAUGCCACUCGAGACUGCUAUGGCUAGAGUCCGGUAGGGGACCACGGAAUUCCUGGUGUAGCGGUGAAAUCGCAGAUAUCAGGAGGAACACCGGUGGCGAAGGCGGUGGUCUGGGCCGGCACUGACGCUGGAGGAGCGAAAGCGUGGGGAGCAAACAGG
rnacentral:rRNA from 1 species